UCCAGACUCCUACGGGAGGCAGCAGUGGGGAAUAUUGCACAAUGGGGGAAACCCUGAUGCAGCGACGCCGCGUGAGUGAAGAAGUAUUUCGGUAUGUAAAGCUCUAUCAGCAGGGAAGAAAAACCGACCUUAGGGUCGCUAGACGGUACCUGAUUAAGAAGCCCCGGCUAACUACGUGCCAGCAGCCGCGGUAAUACGUAGGUGGCAAGCGUUGUCCGGAUUUACUGGGUGUAAAGGGCGUGUAGCCGGGUUGACAAGUCAGAUGUGAAAUCCUGCGGCUUAACCGCAGAACUGCAUUUGAAACUGUUGAUCUUGAGUACUGGAGGGGCAGACGGAAUUCCUAGUAUAGCGGUGAAAUGCGUAGAUAUUAGGAGGAACACCAGUGGCGAAGGCGGUCUGCUGGACAGCAACUGACGGUGAGGCGCGAAAGCGUGGGGAGCAAACAGGAUUAGAUACCCCGGUA
rnacentral:rRNA from 1 species